rnacentral:tRNA from 1 species
GUGAGCUGUAAACUCAUGGACAAGGUAGGCCCUUUCUUAUGAGAUGGUUAGUAGUAAUUAUAUGAA